UAGGGAAUAUUGGACAAUGGGGGCAACCCUGAUCCAGCCAUGCCGCGUGAGUGAAGAAGGCCCUCGGGUUGUAAAGCUCUUUUGUCCGGAAAGAAAAGCAUUCGGUGAAUACCCGGAUGUUCUGACGGUACCGGAAGAAUAAGCACCGGCUAACUUCGUGCCAGCAGCCGCGGUAAUACGAAGGGUGCAAGCGUUACUCGGAAUUACUGGGCGUAAAGCGUGCGUAGGUGGUUGUUUAAGUCUGAUGUGAAAGCCCUGGGCUCAACCUGGGAAUGGCAUUGGCAACUGGGCAGCUAGAGUGCGGUAGAGGGUAGUGGAAUUCCCGGUGUAGCAGUGAAAUGCGUAGAGAUCGGGAGGAACAUCUGUGGCGAAGGCGACUGCCUGGACCAGCACUGACACUGAGGCACGAAAGCGUGGG
rnacentral:rRNA from 1 species